UCCGGUUUGGCACCGGCAGUCCUCCCAGAGUCCCCGACUUGACUCGCUGGCAACUGGGAGCGGGGGUUGCGCUCGUUGCGGGACUUAACCCAACAUCUCACGACACGAGCUGACGACAGCCAUGCAGCACCUGUGCACGGGCUCCGAAGAGGGGCCCCCGUUUCUGAGGGCUUUCCCGUGUAUGUCAAGCCUAGGUAAGGUUCUUCGCGUUGCGUCGAAUUAAACCACAUGCUCCACCGCUUGUGCGGGCCCCCGUCAAUUCCUUUGAGUUUCAGCCUUGCGGCCGUACUCCCCAGGCGGAGUGCUUAAUGCGUUUACUGCGGCACGGAAAGGGUUGAAGACCUCCCCACACCUAGCACCCAACGUUUACGGCUGGGACUAC
rnacentral:misc_RNA from 1 species